UGCACCUACGGGAGGCAGCAGUGGGGGAUAUUGCACAAUGGGGGAAACCCUGAUGCAGCGACGCCGCGUGAGCGAUGAAGUAUUUCGGUAUGUAAAGCUCUAUAAGCAGGGAAGAAAAUGACGGUACCUGACUAAGAAGCCCCGGCUAACUACGUGCCAGCAGCCGCGGUAAUACGUAGGGGGCAAGCGUUAUCCGGAUUUACUGGGUGUAAAGGGAGCGUAGACGGCAGUGCAAGUCUGAAGUGAAAGGACAGGGCUCAACCCUUGGACUGCUUUGGACACUGUGCUGCUCGAGU
rnacentral:rRNA from 1 species